rnacentral:rRNA from 1 species
GACGAACGCUGGCGGCAUGCCUAACACAUGCAAGUCGAACGGUAAGGCCCCUUCGGGGGUACACGAGUGGCGAACGGGUGAGUAACACGUGGGUAACCUGCCCUUCACUGGGGGACAACCGAGGGAAACUUCGGCUAAUACCGCAUAACGUGCACCGUCAUAAGGCGGUGUACCAAAACUCCGGUGGUGAAGGAUGGGCCCGCGGCAGAUUAGCUUGUUGGUGGGGUAAAGGCCUACCAAGGCAACGAUCUGUAGCUGGUCUGAGAGGACGAUCAGCCACACUGGGACUGAGACACGGCCCAGACUCCUACGGGUGGCUG